AAUCGACGGGGAGUUGCGGGCUGCUCGGUGAAGAUAAUUUUAACAGCUGCGGCAUUUUAACUGUACUAAGGUAGCAUAAUAAUUUGCCUUAUAAAUUGAGGCUAGAAUGAAAGGUUUGACGAAGGUUUGACUGUCUCUUUCUUAUUUAUUAGAAUUUAAUUUUUUAGUGAAAAAGCUUAAAUGUUUUAAAGGGACGAGAAGACCCUAUUGAGCUUUAAAUUUGAAAUACUAUAUUGUCAAUAUAAUAUUUAAAAAUUUUAAUUGGGGUGAUUAAGGAAUAAAUAUUAUAAAUAUAUUAAAAUUUAACUUCCUUAAAUAAAAUAUUGUUAAAUAAAGUAACCAAUGAUAUUGCUUAUAUAAAGUUACCAUAGGGAUAACAGCGUAAUUUAUUUAGAGAGUUCUUAUUGAAAAAUAAGAUUGCGACCUCGAUGUUGGAUUAAAGUAACCUUAAGGUGCAGAAGCUAUAAUAGGUAAAUCUGUAU
rnacentral:rRNA from 1 species